GGCCCCGUAGCUCAGCGGUUAGAGCGCGCGACUCAUAAUCGUUUGGUCCCCGGUUCGAAUCCGGGCGGGGCUA
rnacentral:tRNA from 1 species